rnacentral:rRNA from 1 species
GACAGAGGUGCCGAGCGUUAGGCGGAAUCACUGGGCUUAAAGCGUGUGUAGGCGGAUCUGUAAGUACCUUGUGAAAUCCCACGGCUCAACCGUGGAACUGCUUGGUAUACUGCGGGUCUUGAGCCACCUAGGGGCAAGUGGAACAAACGGUGGAGCGGUGAAAUGCGUAGAUAUCGUUUGGAACGCCAAUGGUGAAAACAACUUGCUGGGGGUGUGCUGACGCUGAGACGCGAAAGCGUGGGGAGCGAACAGG